GAUGAACGCUAGCGAUAGGCCUAACACAUGCAAGUCGAGGGGCAUCACAUGAAGUAGCAAUACGGAUGGUGGCAACCGGCGCACGGGUGAGUAACACGUAUGCAACCUGCCUUCAACAAGGGGAUAACCCGUUGAAAGACGGACUAAUACCCUAUAACACAGGGGUCCCGCAUGGGAAUAUUUGUUAAAGGACAACCGGUUGAAGAUGGGCAUGCGUUCCAUUAGCUAGUUGGCGGGGUAACGGCCCACCAAGGCAACGAUGGAUAGGGGAACUGAGAGGUUUAUCCCCCACACUGGUACUGAGACACGGACCAGACUCCUACGGGAGGCAGCAGUGAGGAAUAUUGGUCAAUGGACGCAAGUCUGAACCAGCCACGUCGCGUGAAGGAAGACGGCCCUACGGGUUGUAAACUUCUUUUAUACGGGAAUAAAGUGCCCCACGCGUGGGGUUUUGCAUGUACCGUAUGAAUAAGGAUCGGCUAACUCCGUG
rnacentral:rRNA from 1 species